AGGAUAAUAGUUAAAAAUAACAUUUGUUUUGCAUUCAAAAAUUAUUAAUCUAAAUUAAUUUAUCUUA
rnacentral:tRNA from 1 species